rnacentral:lncRNA from 1 species
UGGUGUAAUAUCUUCCUCUGUCUAAACAUAUCAGCUCAAGACUUUCCUUUGUCUGGUUUCUUUCAGGUUUUCUUUAUUCUGCGCAAGAAACAAGAACAAGUGACUUUCCUGCAUGUAUAUCACCAUGGAACAAUGCUGUUCAACUAGUGGUCAGGGGUCAAAUAUGUGCCUGGGGGACAAGCCUUCUUUAUUGGGAUGUUGAACUCCUUUGUACAUGUCUUCAUGUACACGUAUUAGGCCCUGGCAAGCCUGGGACCACAGAUGCAGCAUUACCUGUGGUGGAAGCGUUGUCUAACCAUCAUGCAGCUGGUAAUCAAUUCCAUGUAUACAUCUCUGCACUUUCAUUUCUUGGAUAUGAUGGUCCUUGCUCUCUGUCUCUGUCCCCUCUGUUUGUUUCCUGUGAAAAUGAUCAUUUUCUUAGGUGUCCUAAUGUCCCACAAUGAGAGGUGAACUGAUCGGUAAUGUGUGCUGAAUAUGACUCUCAGGAAACUACCAAGAGGCCUUCAGUGACCACAUUAGCUUCCAACUAAUAAACUCCAUUUCCAUAAUGGGAAGAAAAGAGAG